UACGUAGGGUCCGAGCGUUGUCCGGAAUUACUGGGCGUAAAGAGCUCGUAGGUGGUUUGUCGCGUUGUUCGUGAAAACUCACAGCUCAACUGUGGGCGUGCGGGCGAUACGGGCAGACUAGAGUACUGCAGGGGAGACUGGAAUUCCUGGUGUAGCGGUGAAAUGCGCAGAUAUCAGGAGGAACACCGGUGGCGAAGGCGGGUCUCUGGGCCGAUACUGACGCUGAGGAGCGAAAGCCAGGGGAGCAAACGGG
rnacentral:rRNA from 1 species